CCUACGGGCGGCAGCAGUGAGGAAUAUUGGUCAAUGGGCGCGAGCCUGAACCAGCCAAGUAGCGUGAAGGAUGACUGCCCUACGGGUUGUAAACUUCUUUUAUAAAGGAAUAAAGUGCGGCACGUGUGCCUUUUUGUAUGUACUUUAUGAAUAAGGAUCGGCUAACUCCGUGCCAGCAGCCGCGGUAAUCCGGAGGUGCCGAACGUUACCCGGAUUUAUUGGGUUUAAAGGGGGGGUAGCUGGGUUUUUAAGUCAGUUGUGAAAGUUUGGGGCUCAACCGUAAGAUUGCACUUGAUACUGGCAGCCUGGAGUACAGUUGAGGUAGGCGGAAUUCGUGGUGUAGCGGUGAAAUGCGUAGAUAUCACGAAGAACUCCGAUUGCGAAGGCAGCUUACUAAACUGCCACUGACAUUGAGGCUCGAAAGUGUGGGUAUCAAACAGGAUUAGAUACCCCAGUAGUC
rnacentral:rRNA from 1 species